UGGAUUUUGGGUUAGGUUUAUUAUUAACUUUGUUUGCCCUCACUAAGUGGGAUUGGACUGGACUGGACUAGCUGUUAGUCCAAUACUGUGUUUGUUUCAUGCUGGGACUAACAUUAAUGAGACUAAAGGGGACUAGCAUGGACAAAACCCUUCACUAAGAGGUCUUAGCGAGACCCCCCAAUAACCAUGGGACUAGCUAAGACUAUCCUCUCUCGUCCUCGUCAUGCUCAACAACCACUCCCGAUAGACUCCUCGUCAUCUCCGGUCACCGAGAUUAUAAUAAAAUAUUAAUAAUUUAUAUAUUAAAUAAUAUAAUAUUAGAAUUUGUUAUUAUCCGCUUCUUAGUCCAACACUGCACCAAACGCUUCACUAAGUUAGUCCAGCUUAGUCUAGUCUAAGCCAGUCCAGCUUAGUCCUUGAAGCUAGUCCAGUCCGAGAUAGUCCGGCGCAACAAACGUCCCCUGAGGGUAUUGAGGUCUAUUCCAGUAAAAUUUUGGAUAUAUGUGAUAGUUUAAUAAAAACUGACAUUUAUGAAAUUAGAGUGUAAAUUUUGGCCAUAUAUGAUAAAUUCUCUCACUAAACCCUGAUCAUUUGUCUAUUUCGCACUUCUCCAUGAAGGCUAGUCUUGCUUUAUAUUCAUCUCGCACGAGAGUCAUAGCGUUAUAAAGGAACCCCUAGAUAAAUGUAAUGCCAAAUCCGCGACUUCAUCUGUUGCUUGCUGCACUUGUAUGAGCAAUAGUAAUAAUAUGUUCUGACGAAUAAAAGGCCACGCAGAAAAAUUCUCUAGCAAGUUCACAUUCGUCAUCGAGUUUAUCCAUCAAAUCAUUGUACUUGCGUUCAAAAUCAUCCAUACUCAUCUCCAUCCCCUUUUGUGGAUAUACAAAAGCAACUCCGAAAGCAGCUGUGCCUUACAUUAUUGGUUCAACCAUUUUUGUGGGCAUUAAGUGCAACAGCCAUGAGAGCGCUAUAACCCCGAUCAAAGAUAGUGCUGUCGCGACUAGCUUUUGUUGGAGCCACUGUCAUCAUACACUCAUUCCAGUUCAAUGUGCAUGUAAGGCCAUAAGACUUAACGACCUCUUCUACAUUAGUAGCCCUCAUUCUCACAGAUCAGAUCAUCAUUCUGGAAAACGAUAGUGGACCCCUCCAGAUGUCUUCGGGCUGAUCGUCUAUGUCUAUUCGACACCCUCGUUUUGACUUUUGAGUAGACUAGGGUUAGGGUUUUUAUCUUGCCUAUUUUUUUUGGUAAUUAACGGGUUAGGGUUUGUAUUAGUUAAGGUUUCCAUCUUUCCGUUUUUCUUGUAGGCUAAUCUGUGGGCUUCUGUUUAUUGUUUGAGUUAUAUUAGGGUCGAUGUAUGUUUUAGGUUUAAAGUUUCAAAAAAUGUUUGUAGGUACUACGAUCUAAUGGUAUUAUUCAGUUAUAAGUGAGACGACUUAGAUUUGAUUCCCACCAAAUUAAAGUGAAUUCGGACUAAAUUAUUAUGGCUAGCUUAUUGUGAGGCUUAGUCCACUACCUCAACUGUAUGUAAAAUGUUUCAAAAAAAGGGUUUAAAAAUUGUUUUCUAAAAGGAAAACAAACAAAUAGAAUUUUAGAUUAUUUUGGUAUAAUCACAUUGGUUUGCGGAUGUGCUUCUCCUAGGCAUUUGAGUUUGAAUCCUCCAUCUUUCCGCAAGUGACAAAUGGCAUAUGAAAUAAAACAAUUUGAGAAUACGUUUGGUGAUUUAUCCUAAAAUGUCUUUCCAAAAACGAAAAAUGUUAAAAACUAUAUUGUAGCAAUAUUUGAAGAUGUGAAAAAUUGUAAACAGUACACACGUAAAUACUUUUCCGAGAAGUCUUGGGUCAAUUUAGAUGUAAAUACUUGCACAAUAGUAAGAACAUGAUCAAUCAAUAACAUAAGAACAUGAUCAAUCAAUAACAUUCCCUUACAACUGAAUUUCUUUUGUCAUCCAUCAAUGAUGCUCUAGAAAUCUGUACACAUAGAUGUGGAUUCUUAAGUGCAAACGUAUCAUAUUUAGCAGAGAAAAUUAUGUCAUGCAUAUUUUUAACAAUGUAUUCCAAG
rnacentral:lncRNA from 1 species